CUACGGGUUGCUCCAGUGGGGAAUAUUGCACAAUGGGCGCAAGCCUGAUGCAGCCAUGCCGCGUGUAUGAAGAAGGCCUUCGGGUUGUAAAGUACUUUCAGCGGGGAGGAAGGGAGUAAAGUUAAUACCUUUGCUCAUUGACGUUACCCGCAGAAGAAGCACCGGCCAACUCCGUGCCAGCAGCCGCGGUAAUACGGAGGGUGCAAGCGUUAAUCGGAAUUACUGGGCGUAAAGCGCACGCAGGCGGUUUAUUAAGUCAGAUGUGAAAUCCCCGGGCUCAACCUGGGAACUGCAUCUGAUACUGGCAAGCUUGAGUAUCGUAGAGGGGGGUAGAAUUCCAGGUGUAGCGGUGAAAUGCGUAGAGAUCUGGAGGAAUACCGGUGGCGAAGGCGGCCCCCUGGACGAAGACUGACGCUCAGGUGCGAAAGCGUGGGGAGCAAACAGGAUUAGAUACCCUUGUAGUC
rnacentral:rRNA from 1 species